rnacentral:rRNA from 1 species
AGAGUUUGAUCAUGGCUCAGAAUAAACGCUGGCGGCGUGCCUAACACAUGCAAGUCGAGCGAGAAAGUCCUUCGGGAUGAGUACAGCGGCGGACGGGUGAGUAACGCGUGAGAAUCUGCCCCUCAGUGAAGAAUACCCUCGAGAAAUCGAGGUUAAUGCUGCAUACGUCCCUUCGGGGAGAAAAAUGGCCUCUUUGCUGUUGCUGAGGGAUGAGCUUGCGUACUAUUAGCUAGUUGGUAGGGUAACGGCCUACCAAGGCGAUGAUGGUUAACCGGCCUGAGAGGGUGUACGGUCACACUGGAACUUAGACACGGUCCAGACUCCUACGGGAGGCAGCAGUGAGGAAUAUUGCGCAAUGGGCGAAAGCCUGACGCAGCGACGCCGCGUGGAGGAUGAAGGUCUUAGGAUUGUAAACUUCUGUUAAGUGGGAAGAAAGACCUAUUUCUAAUACAGAUAGGGGAUGACGGUACCAUUAAAGAAAGCACCGGCUAAUCUCGUGCCAGCAGCCGCGGUAAUACGAGAGGUGCAAGCGUUAUUCGGAAUUAUUGGGCGUAAAGGGUGCGUAGGCGGCAUAUUAAGUCAACUGUUAAAUUUCCCGGCCUAACUGGGAGUCUGCGGUAGAUACUGAUGUGCUAGAGGGUGAAAGAGAGAAGUGGAAUUCUCGGAGUAGCGGUAAAAUGCGUAGAUCUCGAGAGGAACACCAAUGGCGAAGGCAGCUUCUUGGUUCACUUCUGACGCUGAUGCACGAAAGCGUGGGGAGCAAACAGGAUUAGAUACCCUAGUAGUCC